rnacentral:rRNA from 1 species
ACGGGUGAGUAACGCGUAGGGAUCUGUCCACGAGUGGGGGAUAACUUUGGGAAACUGAAGCUAAUACCGCAUGAUACCUGAGGGUCAAAGGAGUGAUCCGCUUGUGGAGGAACCUGCGUUUGAUUAGCUAGUUGGUGGGGUAAAGGCCUACCAAGGCGAUGAUCAAUAGCUGGUUUGAGAGGAUGAUCAGCCACACUGGGACUGAGACACGGCCCAGACUCCUACGGGAGGCAGCAGUGGGGAAUAUUGGACAAUGGGGGCAACCCUGAUCCAGCAAUGCCGCGUGUAUGAAGAAGGUCUUCGGAUUGUAAAGUACUUUCGGUGGGGACGAUGAUGACGGUACCCACAGAAGAAGCCCCGGCUAACUUCGUGCCAGCAGCCGCGGUAAUACGAAGGGGGCUAGCGUUACUCGGAAUGACUGGGCGUAAAGGGCGCGUAGGCGGCUUAUACAGUCAGAUGUGAAAUUCCUGGGCUUAACCUGGGACCUGCAUUUGAUACGUAUAGGCUAGAGUGUGAAAGAGGAUUGUGGAAUUCCAAGUGUAGAGGUGAAAUUCGUAGA